rnacentral:rRNA from 1 species
GACGAACGCUGGCGGCGUGCCUAAUACAUGCAAGUAGAACGCUGAAGGAGGAGCUUGCUUCUCUGGAUGAGUUGCGAACGGGUGAGUAACGCGUAGGUAACCUGCCUGGUAGCGGGGGAUAACUAUUGGAAACGAUAGCUAAUACCGCAUAAGAGUAGAUGUUGCAUGACAUUUGCUUAAAAGGUGCAAUUGCAUCACUACCAGAUGGACCUGCGUUGUAUUAGCUAGUUGGUGGGGUAACGGCUCACCAAGGCGACGAUACAUAGCCGACCUGAGAGGGUGGUCGGCCACACUGGGACUGAGACACGGCACAGACUCCUACGGGAGGCAGCAGGAGGGAAUCUUCGGCAAUGGACGGAAGUCUGACCGAGCAACGCCGCGUGAGUGAAGAAGGUUUUCGGAUCGUAAAGCUCUGUUGUAAGAGAAGAACGAGUGUGAGAGUGGAAAGUUCACACUGUGACGGUAUCUUACCAGAAAGGGACGGCUAACUACGUG